rnacentral:rRNA from 1 species
AUAAGUUAAGUAAGGGCGUAUGGCGGAUGCCUAGGCUCUCAGAGACGACGAAGGACGUGAUAAGCUGCGAAAAGUUACGGGGAGAAGCACAUAUUUUAUGAUCCGUAAAUAUCCGAAUGGGGCAACCCGGCAUGCUGAAGGCAUGUCACCUAGCAAUAGGGGUAAACCCGGUGAACUGAAACAUCUAAGUAACCGGAGGAAGAGAAAACAAAAGUGAUUCCGUUAGUAGUGGCGAGCGAACGCGGAUUAGCCCAAACCAGUGUUGUUACGGCAAUACUGGGGUUGUAGGACCACGAUAUUCGAAGCUAAGUGAAUUAGAACUGUUUGGAAAGACAGACCAAAGAGGGUGAUAGUCCCGUAUAAGUAAGCGAAGAUUAGAUAGUGGUAUCCUGAGUAGUGCGGGACACGAGUAAUCCUGUAUGAAUCCACCGGGACCAUCCGGUAAGGCUAAAUACUCCUGAGAGACCGAUAGUGAACUAGUACCGUGAGGGAAAGGUGAAAAGAACCCUAAGUAAGGGAGUGAAAGAGAUCCUGAAACCGUACGCCUACAAGCGGUCGGAGCACAUUUACUGUGUGACGGCGUGCCUUUUGCAUAAUGAGCCUACGAGUUACUGUUUCUAGCAAGGUUAAAUGUUUAAGACAUGGAGCCGUAGCGAAAGCGAGUCUGAAUAGGGCGCAUAGUUAGUAGUAGUAGACGCGAAACCGAGUGAUCUACCCAUGGGCAGGUUGAAGCUGUGGUAACACACAGUGGAGGACCGAACCAGUUGACGUUGAAAAGUCUUUGGAUGACCUGUGGGUAGGGGUGAAAGGCCAAUCAAACUCGGAAAUAGCUCGUACUCCCCGAAAUGCAUUUAGGUGCAGCGUUGAUUUAUAGUUUUAUAGAGGUAGAGCUACUGAUUGGAUGCGGGGGCUUCACCGCCUACCAAUUCCUGACAAACUCCGAAUGCUAUAAAAUGUUACUCAGCAGUGAGGGCAUGGGUGCUAAGGUCCAUGUCCGAGAGGGAAAGAACCCAGACCAUCAGCUAAGGUCCCCAAAUAUAUGUUAAGUUGAAUAAACGAGGUGAAACUGCUUAGACAGCUAGGAUGUUGGCUUGGAAGCAGCCAUUCAUUUAAAGAGUGCGUAACAGCUCACUAGUCGAGCGGUUUUGCAUGGAUAAUAAUCGGGCAUAAACAUAUUACCGAAGCUAUGGAUUUGUAUUAUAUACAAGUGGUAGGGGAGCAUUGUAACCUGCGUAGAAGGUGUGCUGUAAGGCAUGCUGGAGUGGUUACAAAAGAAAAUGUAGGCAUAAGUAACGAUAAAGGGGGCGAGAAACCCCCUCACCGAAAGACUAAGGUUUCCUCAGCGAUGCUAAUCAGCUGAGGGUUAGUCGGGUCCUAAGGCGAAUCCGAAGGGAGUAGUCGAUGGAUAACAGGUUAAUAUUCCUGUACUUCUUAUAAUUGCGAUGGGGUGACGGAGUAUUGAAAGCACCGCGAACUGACGGAAUAGUUCGUUAAAGUAUGUAGCUAUAGAACCAGAUUAAGAGUUAGGUUUUGGCAAAGUACGAUAGUACCACAAAGCUUCGGCAGCGUGGAUAGUGUGCCUAAAAGCUUCCAAGAAAAACCUCUAAGCUUCAGAUUAUAAGAACCCGUACCGUAAACCGACACAGGUAGUUGGGAUGAGAAUUCUAAGGUGCUCGAGAGAUUCAUGGCUAAGGAACUAGGCAAAAUAGACCCGUAACUUCGGGAGAAGGGUCGCCACGCUUUACGGCGUGGCCGCAGUGAAAAGGUCCAGGCGACUGUUUAUCAAAAACACAGGGCUUUGCUAAAUUGAAAGAUGAUGUAUAAGGCCUGACACCUGCCCGGUGCUGGAAGGUUAAGUGGAGGGUUUAGCUUCGGCGAAGAUCUGAAAUGAAGCCCCAGUAAACGGCGGCCGUAACUAUAACGGUCCUAAGGUAGCGAAAUUCCUUGUCGGGUAAGUUCC